UCACUUAGAAACUUAACUCAAUUUCCAAUACAUAAAAGUUAAUUAAACUUUCUUCAUAAAAUUUGUUAAACAUUAAAUAAAAUAUUUUAAAUAUGGCUUCAAGAUGUGAAGUUUUCUUGGAGAUUUUGCUUGCAAUCUUAAUUCCACCUCUUGGAGUUUUCUUUAGACAUGGUUGUUGCAGUUGUGAAUUCUUGAUUUGCUUAAUAUUAACCCUAUUAGGUUAUAUUCCUGGAAUUAUUUAUGCAAUUUAUGCAAUUGUGGUUCGUGGUUAUGAUCAAGAUGAAGAAUGGCGUCCUCUCACAGCCUAGUCAUUAUUAUAUUUUUUAAUUUUUAAUUUAUUAUUAUUUCUAUUUUUAUUUUUUUUAAUUUUUGGAUAAUAGGAAAACAAUAAUUUUACAUGAUUUAAUUGGUUCUUUAAUUGCAAAAAUUAAUAAAAGUUUAUCAUGUCCCUAUUUUUCAUUGAUUAGAAA